rnacentral:hammerhead_ribozyme from 1 species
AUCCAGCUGACGAGUCCUAAAUAGGACGAAACGUGCAUCAAACUGGAU